AGAAGAUACUAAGGGCGCACGGCGGAUGCCUUGGCACAGGAAGUCGAAGAAGGACGCGGCAAGCUGCGAUAAGCUCCGGGGAGGCGCAAACGGCCUUCGAUCCGGAGAUCUCCGAAUGGGGGAACCCAGCAGGGGUCAUGCCCUGCUACCCGCGCCUGAAUGAAAUAGGGCGCGAGGAGGCAACCCGGGGAACUGAAACAUCUAAGUACCCGGAGGAAGAGAAAUCAACCGAGAUUGCGGGAGUAGCGGCGAGCGAAACCGCACCAGCCCAAACCCAUGCACGUGCAAGCUUGAGGGCGUUGCUGCAUGAGGGGUUGUGGGACCGCGCAUUCCAUGGGCCUCAGACCAUGGACGCAGUUACAAAUCCGCGCGGAAGCGGAACGGCCUGGGAAGGCCGGCGGAACAGGGUGAGAGCCCCGUACGCGAAUCCGCGCGGACUGCGAGUGCGGCGCCCGAGUAGCGCCGGGCACGUGAAACCCGGUGCGAACCUGGGGGGACCACCCUCCAAGGCUGAACACUCUCCUGUGACCGAUAGCGAACCAGUACCGUGAGGGAAAGGUGAAAAGCACCCCGGGAGGGGAGUGAAACAGUACCUGAAACCGUGCGCCUACAAGCAGUCGGAGCCCCCGAGCGGGGUGACGGCGUGCCUUUUGUAGAAUGAGCCAGCGAGUUGCGGUAUGCGGCGAGGUUAAGGUUUGAACCGAGCCGCAGUGAAAGCGAGCCUUUAAGAUGGCGAUAGAGUCGCAUGCUGCAGACGCGAAGCCGGGUGAGCUAUCCAUGGGCAGGCUGAAGCGGGGGUAAGACCCCGUGGAGGGCCGAACCCACUUCGGUUGAAAACGGAGGGGAUGACCCGUGGAUAGGGGUGAAAGGCCAAUCAAACCCGGAGAUAUCUCGUUCUCCCCGAAAUAGCUUUAGGGCUAGCCUCGGCCGUUCUCCGACGGCGGUAGAGCACUGGAUCGUCGAGGGGGCUUCACCGCCUACCGACACGAACCAAACUCCGAAUGCCGCCGGAUCAGAGGCCGGGAGUCAGAACAUGUGGGCUAAGCUGUGUGUUCGAGAGGGAAACAGCCCAGACCGCCCGCUAAGGUCCCCAAGUUUAUGCUGAGUGGCAAAGGAUGUGCGUUUGCCUAGACAACCAGGAUGUUGGCUUAGAAGCAGCCAUACAUUCAAAGAGUGCGUAACAGCUCACUGGUCAAGUGGACAUGCGCCGACAAUUCACGGGGCUAAGCAUAACACCGAAGCGGCGGACUAAUCUAUAUUAGUGGUAGGGGAGCUUUCCCCGCAGCGGAGAAGCCGAGAGGGCGACCCUCGGUGGAGCGCGGGGAAGUGAGAAUGCUGGCAUGAGUAACGAGAGCGGCGCGAGAAACGCCGCCGCCGUAAGCCUAAGGGUUCCUGGGCAAGGCUAAUCCUCCCAGGGUCAGUCGGGAGCUAAGGCGAGGCCGAGAGGCGUAGCCGAUGCGCAACAGGCGGACAUUCCUGUACCGCCUGCGGACCGCUAUCACCGACGGGGUGACGGAGAAGGGUAGCCGAGCGGGGUUCUGGACGUCCCCGUGAAAGCGCGUAGGGAGCAUCGCAUGGAAAUCAGCGGCGCAUAUAUCCUGAGACGCGAGACGAAAGCUUAUGCUGAAGUCGGCGAGCCCAUGCUUCCGAGAAAAACCUCUAGGAAGGGACGCAGGCGCCCGUACCAAAACCGACACAGGUGGGCAGGUAGAGCAUACCGAGGCGAUCGGGAGAACCAUGGUUAAGGAACUCGGCAUACUGACUCCGUAACUUCGGGAGAAGGAGUGCCCCUGGCGGUGACGGGACUAGCUCCCCGAGCGGCCGGGGGUCGCAGCGAAACGGCCCAAGCGACUGUUUAUCAAAAACACAGGACUCUGCAAAGCCGUAAGGCGACGUAUAGGGUCUGACGCCUGCCCGGUGCUGGAAGGUUACGCGGAUGGGUCAGCCGAAAGGCGAAGCUCUGAAGCCAAGCCCCAGUAAACGGCGGCCGUAACUAUAACGGUCCUAAGGUAGCGAAAUUCCUUGUCGGGUAAGUUCCGACCUGC
rnacentral:rRNA from 1 species